rnacentral:lncRNA from 1 species
UAUUCACUCCACUUAUUUUAUUAAAAAACCUGCUCACUGGUUAUGUAGACAUACUUUUAAUUAUAGUGUGUUUGAAAGAGUUACAAUUACUGUGAUAUUUUAAAUUUAUUUCAAUUAAAUAACAAGUCAAUGAACUAUAACAAUAUAAGACACAAUUGUAACAAAUAUAGAGGGCUCAGUAUAUUUUUUAAAUUAAUAAGGCAACAUCUUUGCCCUUUAAAGACAUAUGUUAAUUACCUGAGAAAUAUCUGCCUGUAUACCAUGAAUGGUAUUGUGGUUCAGUCACAAGGCGCCAUAUACCAUACUCUGCUGGAUUAACACUCUGCACUAUUAGAGCAAAUAGCAGAGGCUGUGUAGAAAAUUCAUAAUGUUUAAAAUACGUUGCAAAAUUGGGAAGAAUGUAAGAUAUGGAAAGACUGGGCGACUAGUGUAAUAGUAGGCUUCCAAAACCAAGUAUCACAAAGUGUAUUGCAGUCAUGAAGAUAAAUACAAAUUAAACUGAGAUAAUUCAUACUCAGGUUCACCAACAUUAUGAAUGGUCCUGAAUGCCAAAGCAUGGUCUAUAUACUUGCCUCAAUAGACUAUCGAGAGCCAUUGAAAAUAUGUCUCUUUUUAAAGAGU